CCCUAGUAACUGCGAGUGAAGCGGGAAAAGCUCAAAUUUAAAAUCUGGCGGUCUUCGGCCGUCCGAGUUGUAAUCUAGAGAAGUGUUACCCGUGCUGGACCGUGUAUAAGUCUCCUGGAAUGGAGCGUCAUAGAGGGUGAGAAUCCCGUCUUUGACACGGACUACCAGUGCUUUUGUGGUGCGCUCUCAAAGAGUCGAGUUGUUUGGGAAUGCAGCUCAAAAUGGGUGGUAAAUUCCAUCUAAAGCUAAAUAUUGGCGAGAGACCGAUAGCGAACAAGUACCGUGAGGGAAAGAUGAAAAGAACUUUGGAAAGAGAGUUAAACAGUACGUGAAAUUGCUGAAAGGGAAACGCUUGAAGUCAGUCGCGUUGGCCGGAAAUCAACCUUGCUUCUGUUGGGUGUACUUUCUGGUUGACGGGCCAGCAUCAGUUUUGACCGGUGGAAAAAGGUCAAGGGAAUGUGGCAUCUUCGGAUGUGUUAUAGCCCUUGGUCGUAUACAUCGGUUGGGACUGAGGAAUUCAGCACGCCGAAAGGCCGGGUCUUUGACCACGUUCGUGCUUANGAUGCUGGCAUAAUGGCUUUAAUCGACCCGUCUUGAAACACGGACCAAGGAGUCUAACAUGCCUGCGAGUAUUU
rnacentral:rRNA from 1 species